rnacentral:rRNA from 1 species
GGACUACACGGGUAUCUAAUCUGCUUCGCGCCCCAUGCUUUCGUGCCUGAGCGUCAGUGAUUGGAUAGGUACCUGCCUACGCCUUUGGUGUUCCCGAUCAUAUCAACGCAUUUCACUGCUUCAUGAUCGGUUCCAGUACCCUCUCCAAUACUCAAGACUAACCAUCUCUUGCCCAAAACCGUGGUUGAGCCACGGGCUUUUAAGCAAGAUGUGAUAGUCCGCCUACGCCACUCUUUACGCCCAAUGAAUCCGGAUAACGCUUGCACCCUACGUCUUACCGCGGCUGCUGGCAC